UACGGAGGGUGCAAGCGUUAUCCGGAUUCACUGGGUUUAAAGGGUGCGUAGGAGGGCAGGUAAGUCAGUGGUGAAAUCCCCCGAGCUUAACUUGGGACUGCCGUUGAUACUAUCUGUCUUGAAUACCGUGGAGGUGAGCGGAAUAUGUCAUGUAGCGGUGAAAAUGCUUAGAUGAUGACAUACGAACACCAAUUGCGAAGGCAGCUCGCUACACGAAUAUUGCUCUGAGGCACGAAAGCGUGGGGAUCAAACAGGAUUAGAA
rnacentral:rRNA from 1 species